UACCCUUCCUGACAGCAAAACAAACACAGUGACACAUUUUGAAGCACGCACCCGCAAAUCUCCUUGUCUGUUGUCUCUACCUUUACGCUUCAGAUGUGAAGCAGCUGACAUGUAAGUGCCACAUAAGGUCAGACGAUUCCUGCCAGCACGACGAGCAUUGCCAGCACCCUGACCACAAUAUGCACAACACCUGAACAGCCUGCAACACAAUUAGCAGGUUAGUCAUUAGUCUAUCGAGCUAACUGACCAAUAGAUGGUUGUUGUUAUUAACUGUAAUAACUAAAGAUAGGUAUGUGGAUUUGGUAUUGUGUAUAAAAGUCAGAUGGGAUCAGAAGAUGCCAUCCUCAGCCACUCAGGAGCAUCUAUGGACUGCUAUGAUAUCCUAUGAUGGUAUUAGCAUUUAUCUUCCAGUAUGAACUUACCGCCCGCCAUCAUCUUUAAGAAGAAGUUGAUCACGCGUGUUUCCGUGGCGUUGUCCACUUGGCACGUGUACCUUCCCUCAUGAUUAUUGGACAGACUGUGCAGACUGAGGUUGCCUGAAGUGGACACGUCCUUCACCUGCUCUUUCCACUCCUCACUAAUGUCCUUAGCACCGUUGCUCAUCUUGAGGAUGGUACGAUUGUUGAACGUCCAGACGACGCUCCUUUCACCAGUCAAGAAGGGACAGUUGAUGACGGUCUCUGAUCCAGAAACGCUGACAGUCGCUGAAAUGGAACCAAAGAAGGUGAGCCUCCUGCUGCUGUGGCUUCUAACGUCGCAGAUGUAGUCCACCUGAGAAGUGUUGUCCCCCGCCACGACCAGCCAGCCGCUGAUGCUGUAAAGUGUCUCCCCUGUGCCGUUGUCCACUUUCGUGGCGUUCUGGAGGGCG